ensembl:misc_RNA 7SK 7SK RNA
AGAUGUGAGGGCGAUCGGGCUGUGACAUCUAUCACCCCAUGGAUCACCAGGGUUGAUUUGGCUGAUCUGGCUGGCUAGGUGAGUGUCCCCUUCCUCCCUCACCGCUCCAUGUGUGUCCCUCCUAAAGCUGCAUACUCAGUUGAAGAGGAGGACUUUCCCUGAUAGAGGAAAGGACCACUCUUCAGCCAAGGGUAUACGAGUAGCUGCGCUCCCCUGCUAGAACCUCCAAACAAGCUCUCAUGGUCCAUUUGUAGGAGAUUGUAGGGUAGUCAAGUUUCCAAGACUCCAGACACAUCCAAAUGAGGUGCUGCAUGUGGCAGUCUGCCUUUCUUA